rnacentral:rRNA from 1 species
GAUCUGGCUCAGGACGAACGCUGGCGGCGCGCCUAACACAUGCAAGUCGAACGGAGCUUAGAGAGCUUGCUUUUUAAGCUUAGUGGCGAACGGGUGAGUAACGCGUGAGUAACCUGCCCUAGAGUGGGGGACAACAGUUGGAAACGACUGCUAAUACCGCAUAAGCCCACGGUGCCGCAUGACACUGAGGGAAAAGGAUUUAUUCGCUUUAGGAUGGACUCGCGUCCAAUUAGCUAGUUGGUGAGGUAACGG